rnacentral:rRNA from 1 species
AGCUACAGGCUUAACACAUGCAAGUCGAGGGGCAGCAUGGUCUUAGCUUGCUAAGACUGAUGGCGACCGGCGCACGGGUGAGUAACACGUAUCCAACCUGCCGUCUACUCUUGGACAGCCUUCUGAAAGGAAGAUUAAUACAAGAUGGCAUCAUGAGUCCGCAUGUUCACAUGAUUAAAGGUAUUCCGGUAGACGAUGGGGAUGCGUUCCAUUAGAUAGUAGGCGGGGUAACGGCCCACCUAGUCUUCGAUGGAUAGGGGUUCUGAGAGGAAGGUCCCCCACAUUGGAACUGAGACACGGUCCAAACUCCUACGGGAGGCAGCAGUGAGGAAUAUUGGUCAAUGGGCGAGAGCCUGAACCAGCCAAGUAGCGUGAAGGAUGACUGCCCUAUGGGUUGUAAACUUCUUUUAUAAAGGAAUAAAGUCGGGUAUGGAUACCCGUUUGCAUGUACUUUAUGAAUAAGGAUCGGCUAACUCCGUGCCAGCAGCCGCGGUAAUACGGAGGAUCCGAGCGUUAUCCGGAUUUAUUGGGUUUAAAGGGAGCGUAGAUGGAUGUUUAAGUCAGUUGUGAAAGUUUGCGGCUCAACCGUAAAAUUGCAGUUGAUACUGGAUAUCUUGAGUGCAGUUGAGGCAGGCGGAAUUCGUGGUGUAGCGGUGAAAUGCUUAGAUAUCACGAAGAACUCCGAUUGCGAAGGCAGCCUGCUAAGCUGCAACUGACAUUGAGGCUCGAAAGUGUGGGUAUCAAACAGGAUUAGAUACCCUGGUAGUCCACACGGUAAACGAUGAAUACUCGCUGUUUGCGAUAUACUGCAAGCGGCCAAGCGAAAGCGUUAAGUAUUCCACCUGGGGAGUACGCCGGCAACGGUGAAACUCAAAGGAAUUGACGGGGGCCCGCACAAGCGGAGGAACAUGUGGUUUAAUUCGAUGAUACGCGAGGAACCUUACCCGGGCUUAAAUUGCAGAUGAAUUACGGUGAAAGCCGUAAGCCGCAAGGCAUCUGUGAAGGUGCUGCAUGGUUGUCGUCAGCUCGUGCCGUGAGGUGUCGGCUUAAGUGCCAUAACGAGCGCAACCCUUGUUGUCAGUUACUAACAGGUUCCGCUGAGGACUCUGACAAGACUGCCAUCGUAAGAUGUGAGGAAGGUGGGGAUGACGUCAAAUCAGCACGGCCCUUACGUCCGGGGCUACACACGUGUUACAAUGGGGGGUACAGAGGGCCGCUACCACGCGAGUGGAUGCCAAUCCCCAAAACCUCUCUCAGUUCGGACUGGAGUCUGCAACCCGACUCCACGAAGCUGGAUUCGCUAGUAAUCGCGCAUCAGCCACGGCGCGGUGAAUACGUUCCCGGGCCUUGUACACACCGCCCGUCAAGCCAUGGGAGCCGGGGGUACCUGAAGUGCGUAACCGCGAGGAGCGCCCUAGGGUAAAACUGGUGACUGGGGCUAAGUAGU